rnacentral:tRNA from 1 species
GCGCUCGUAGCUCAGUUGGAUAGAGCGGCGGUUUCCUAAACCGCAGGUCGUGGGUUCGAAUCCCGCCGGGCGCG